rnacentral:misc_RNA from 1 species
UCAAACUUGGUCAUUUAGAGGAAGUAAAAGUCGUAACAAGGUUUCCGUAGGUGAACCUGCGGAAGGAUCAUUAAUAAUAAGUUUAUCUUACCAAAACAUUACGUACUUCUGUGUGCUCUUUGUAACCUUUGUGUUAUGAAACUAGAAAUUCUUUUAUGGAUUACUAGGAAACUGGAAACAUAAAUGUAACAAACUUGUAUUCAAUUUUUUGGACUGAAAAACAAAUCCUAUUUUUCUUAAUUGAAAAAUGUUUUAAAUUAAAAAACAACUUUUGACAACGGAUCUCUUGGCUCUCGCAUCGAUGAAGAACGCAGC